rnacentral:tRNA from 1 species
GCCUGGAUAGCUCAGUUGGAUAAGCGUCCGACUUUGGCUCAGGUCAUGAUCUCAUGGUACGUGGGUUCGAGCCCCUCUUCGAGCU